AGAAUGGCUGUAAGGGACCAUAUAUAGCAUGUGGUCACAUGGUGUCUCCCGCAGAAAAUCUUGCGUAAAAUACUGAGGUAGUCAUUUUUCCAAUCGCUUCUUAUGAGAAACCAAUUGCCUCGAUGGAUAUAUUAUCGAAUAUAUAUGUUAAAAACACCUUGAGGAUGGAUCCUAAACAACGUUUGCCGUGUUUCUGUCGAUAUUAUGGAGCAAAUUUUGAAAAAGGUUUGGCGUUAUAGUUGUAGCAUUUUACGGUCGAUUUCUCAGCCAAGCAUGAUGAAGAAACGGGAGCUAUUUCGCCUACAAAAAAUAAUAUUUUGGGAAAAAAGGAACAUUUGCUAUCUAACUGGGAGUCUCCUGAGUGAAAGCAUCCGAAGUUCUUCAAAGGAGAGGCCUCAGUGUCUCUAUGUGUGUGUCCGUCCAGAGUCCAGCUGUACUGAGGACCGUCCCCCUCAGAGGAGCAGGACACCCUCAUCUCUCCAUGGGUCAGACACUGAGAGGACAGCUGAGGAGAGGACACUGGGGCUGUGGAGGAAGAAGAAUCGACAUCUGAAGACAUCUGCAGACUUUCGCACAAACAAAUGAGAAAACAACACUUCUUCUUCUUCUUCUUCUUCUUCGAGAGAGAGAGAGAGAGAGAGAGAGAGAGAGAGAGAGAGAGAGAGAG
ensembl:lncRNA